AUUGAACGCUGGCGGCAGGCCUAACACAUGCAAGUCGAACGAGCGGCGGACGGGUGAGUAAUGUCUGGGAAACUGCCUGAUGGAGGGGGAUAACUACUGGAAACGGUGGCUAAUACCGCAUACCAUCGGAUGUGCCCAGAGGGGAUUAGCUAGUAGGUGGGGUAAAGGCUCACCUAGGCGACGAUCCCUAGCUGGUCUGAGAGGAUGACCAGCCACACUGUAAAUGAGACACGGCCCAGACACCGACGGGAGGCAGCAGUGGGGAAUAUUGCACAAUGGGCGCAAGCCUGAUGCAGCCAUGCCGCGGGUAUUAAGAAGGCCUUCGGGUUGUAAAGAACUUUCAGCGGGGAGGCGUUACCCGCAGAAGAAGCACCGGCUAACUCCGUGCCAGCAGCCGCGGUAAUAC
rnacentral:rRNA from 1 species